GAUGAACGCUGGCGGCGUGCCUAAUACAUGCAAGUCGAGCGAACGGACGAGAAGCUUGCUUCUCUGAUGUUAGCGGCGGACGGGUGAGUAACACGUGGAUAACCUACCUAUAAGACUGGGAUAACUUCGGGAAACCGUAGCUAAUACCGGAUAAUAUUUUGAACCGCAUGGUUCAAAAGUGAAAGACGGUCUUGCUGUCACUUAUAGAUGGAUCCGCGCUGCAUUAGCUAGUUGGUAAGGUAACGGCUUACCAAGGCAACGAUGCAUAGCCGACCUGAGAGGGUGAUCGGCCACACUGGAACUGAGACACGGUCCAGACUCCUACGGGAGGCAGCAGUAGGGAAUCUUCCGCAAUAGGCGAAAGCCUGACGGAGCAACGCCGCGUGAGUGAUGAAGGUCUUCGGAUCGUAAAACUCUGUUAUUAGGGAAGAACAUAUGUGUAAGUAACUGUGCACAUCUUGACGGUACCUAAUCAGAAAGCCACGGCUAACUACGUG
rnacentral:rRNA from 1 species